GCCGCGUGAGUGAGAAGGUUUUCGGAUCGUAAAACUCUGUUGUUAGGGAAGAACAAGUAUGAUAGUAACUGAUCAUACCUUGACGGUACCUAACCAGAAAGCCACGGCUAACUACGUGCCAGCAGCCGCGGUAAUACGUAGGUGGCAAGCGUUGUCCGGAUUUAUUGGGCGUAAAGCGCUCGCAGGCGGUCUUUUAAGUCUGAUGUGAAAGCCCACGGCUUAACCGUGGAGGGUCAUUGGAAACUGGAGGACUUGAGUGCAGAAGAGGAGAGUGGAAUUCCAUGUGUAGCGGUGAAAUGCGUAGAGAUAUGGAGGAACACCAGUGGCGAAGGCGACUCUCUGGUCUGUAACUGACGCUGAGGAGCGAAAGCGUGGGUAGCGAACAGGAUUAGAUACCCUGGUAGUCCACGCCGUAAACGAUGAGUGCUAGGUGUUAGGGGGUUUCCGCCCCUUAGUGCUGAAGUUAACGCAUUAAGCACUCCGCCUGGGGAGUACGGCCGCAAGGCUGAAACUCAAAAGAAUUGACGGGGACCCGCACAAGCGGUGGAGCAUGUGGUUUAAUUCGAAGCAACGCGAAGAACCUUACCAGGUCUUGACAUCCUUUCGCCCUCCCUAGAGAUAGGGAUUUCCCUUCGGGGACGAAAGUGACAGGUGGUGCAUGGUUGUCGUCAGCUCGUGUCGUGAGAUGUUGGGUUAAGUCCCGCAACGAGCGCAACCCUUG
rnacentral:rRNA from 1 species